GCCAGACUCCUACGGGAGGCAGCAGUGGGGGAUAUUGGACAAUGGGGGGAACCCUGAUCCAGCGACGCCGCGUGAGUGAAGAAGUAUCUCGGUAUGUAAAGCUCUAUCAGCAGGGAAGAAGAAAUGACGGUACCUGACUAAGAAGCCCCGGCUAACUACGUACCAGCAGCCGCGGUAAUACGUAGGGGGCAAGCGUUAUCCGGAUUUACUGGGUGUAAAGGGAGCGUAGACGGUUACGCAAGUCUGGAGUGAAAGGCGGGGGCCCAACCCCCGGACUGCUUUGGGAACUGUUUUGCUGGAGUAUGGGAGGGGUAAGCGGAAUUCCUGGUGUAGCGGUGAAAUGCGUAGAUAUCAGGAGGAACACCGGUGGCGAAGGCGGCUUACUGGACCAUAACUGACGUUGAGGCUCGAAAGCGUGGGGAGCGAACAGGAUUAGAUACCCUCGUAA
rnacentral:rRNA from 1 species